AAGUGUGCCGCCUGGGGAGUACGGUCGCAAGAUUAAAACUCAAAGGAAUAGACGGGGACCCGCACAAGCGGUGGAGCAUGUGGUUUAAUUCGACGAUACGCGAAGAACCUUACCUGGCCUUGACAUAGAUAGAAUAUAGCAGAGAUGUAAUAGUGCCAGUUUACUGGAACUAUCAUACAGGUGCUGCACGGCUGUCGUCAGCUCGUGUCGUGAGAUGUUGGGUUAAGUCCCGCAACGAGCGCAACCCACGUGUCUAGUUACUAACAGUUCGGCUGAGAACUCUAGACAGACUGCCUUCGUAAGGAGGAGGAAGGUGUGGACGACGUCAAGUCAUCAUGGCCCUUACGGCCAGGGCUACACACGUGCUACAAUGGGGUAUACAGAGAGCCGCAAUACCGCGAGGUGGAGCAAAUCUUCAAAAUAUCUCCCAGUUCGGAUAGCAGUCUGCAACUCGACUGCUUGAAGUUGGAAUCGCUAGUAAUCGUGAAUCAGCAAUGUCACGGUGAAUACGUUCCCGGGUCUUGUACUCACCGCCCGUCACACCAUGGGAGUUGAAUUCAUUCGAAGCGGGGAUGCUAAAAUAGCUACCUUCCACAGUGGAUUUAGUAACUAGGGUGAAGUUCUAGCAACAUA
rnacentral:rRNA from 1 species